rnacentral:rRNA from 1 species
GCAUAUCAAUAAGCGGAGGAAAAGAAACCAACAGGGAUUGCCUCAGUAACGGCGAGUGAAGCGGCAACAGCUCAAAUUUGAAAUCUGGCGCCUUCGGCGUCCGAGUUGUAAUUUGUAGAGGAUGCUAUUGGGUUGCCACCGGUCUAAGUUCCUUGGAACAGGACGUCACAGAGGGUGAGAAUCCCGUAUGUGACCGGCCAGGCGCCUUCUGUAUAGCUCCUUCGACGAGUCGGGUUGUUUGGGAAUGCAGCCCUAAAUGGGAGGUAAAUUUCUUCUAAAGCUAAAUACCGGCCAGAGACCGAUAGCGCACAAGUAGAGUGAUCGAAAGAUGAAAAGCACUUUGGAAAGAGAGUUAAAAAGCACGUGAAAUUGUUGAAAGGGAAGCGCUUGCAAUCAGUCUCGACGGCGGCUGUUCGGCCUCUCUUCUGAGUGGCUUAUUCAGUCGCCGCCGGGCCAGCAUCAGUUUUGGCGGUCGGAUAAAGGCGUGGGGAAUGUAGCUCCUCCGGGAGUGUUAUAGCCCCGCGUGCAAUACGGCCCGCCGGGACUGAGGUCCGCGCUUCGGCUAGGAUGCUGGCGAAAUGGUUGUAAGCGGCCCGUCUUGAAACACGGACCAAGGAGUCUAACAUCUACGCGAGUGUUUGGGUGUCAAACCCGUGCGCGCAAUGAAAGUGAACGGAGGUGGGAACCGCAAGGUGCACCAUCGACCGAUCCUGAUGUCUUCGGAUGGAUUUGAGUAAGAGCGUAGCUGUUGGGACCCGAAAGAUGGUGAACUAUGCCUGAAUAGGGUGAAGCCAGAGGAAACUCUGGUGGAGGCUCGCAGCGGUUCUGACGUGCAAAUCGAUCGUCAAAUUUGGGUAUAGGGGCGAAAGACUAAUCGAACCAUCUAGUAGCUGGU